GACGUAGGGCGCGAGCGUUGUCCGGAUUUAUUGGGCGUAAAGAGCUCGUAGGCGGCUUGUCGCGUCGUUCGUGAAAACCUGUGGCUCAACUACAGGCUUGCGGUCGAUACGGGCAGGCUGGAGUUCGGUAGGGGAGACUGGAAUUCCUGGUGUAGCGGUGAAAUGCGUAGAUAUCGUAAGGAAGACCAGUGGCGAAGGCGGGUCUCUGGACAGUUCCUGACGCUGAGGCACGAAGGUCAGGGGAGCAAACGGG
rnacentral:rRNA from 1 species